UACGUAGGUGACAAGCGUUGUCCGGAUUUACUGGGCGUAAAGAGCGCGCAGGCGGUCGUUCAAGUCGAGUGUGAAAGCCCCCGGCUCAACUGGGGAGGGUCAUUCGAUACUGAUCGACUCGAAGGCAGGAGAGGGUAGUGGAAUUCCCGGUGUAGUGGUGAAAUGCGUAGAUAUCGGGAGGAACACCAGUGGCGAAGGCGACUACCUGGCCUGUUCUUGACGCUGAGGCGCGAAAGCUAGGGGAGCAGACAGG
rnacentral:rRNA from 1 species